rnacentral:rRNA from 1 species
UACAGAGGUCUCAAGCGUUGUUCGGAUUCAUUGGGCGUAAAGGGUGUGUAGGUGGCGCUGUAAGUCGGGUGUGAAAUCUCGGGGCUUAACUCCGAAACUGCAUUCGAUACUGCGGUGCUUGAGGACUGGAGAGGAGACUGGAAUUCAUGGUGUAGCAGUGAAAUGCGUAGAGACCAUGAGGAAGACCAGUGGCGAAGGCGGGUCUCUGGACAGUUCCUGACACUGAGACACGAAGGCCAGGGGAGCAAACGGG